UGGAAUCAUGAAUUGAACUGUAGCUUAGUGGUUAAGCAAUCGCACCUUUAACGUCGACUCCUCCGGUGACGAGAGCUUUGCGGAUACAAGCAACGUAGUCUCUCUUUUGCUAUGUAAGGGAUUUCUUGUCUCUUUCCUUUCAAAUUGUUCCUGUAAUCUUGAGGAGAGUCUCUCCGUUGAAUCGUCGAUCUCUCUCUUCCAGAAUCACACUCGACGACGGCAGUUCGUCGACCUCCCCGAUUCGGAACUCUAGGACAACCCAAGUCCCUCAAUUCGUUCGAUUAGCUUCGGAGUAAGGUCAGGAACUGUUUCCCGGCGAUUUGUUGUCAUUCUGGUCUAGUUUGAUGUUGUUUAGUUGGUCGCCGUAGUUGGGGUUUUCCCUCACCAGAUUCGGGAAAUCCUAAUGGAAAGUUGCGGAAGAUUACCGUCGAAAUUCAGUGGCGACUCCUGGAUUUUUCAGUAAUUACGUUUCAAUCACUGAACUUUCAGAAAAUUAGAAAUAGUACCCUAAGUCUUAGUAAAUGACCUGCCGUAAACAAACGAUUAGGAGUUGACAGUUUAGCCUUUAGCUUUCUCUUUGUAGCUGCCGCGGCUGGAACUGUCUGAUUGUGACAGUUUGCACCCAAACGAUUCUAGAAGCCCUCUUUAAGUCCUAUAAUUAGCUCUAAUCGAUUAUAAAAUGCUAGUAAAAUAAUUGAGAGUCAGUAACAUGACCCCUAUAUUUAUAAAUUUAUUAAGUAAUAGUAUUUCAUCAAAUAUUAAUUAUUAAAAAUAUAAUGUAAUUAUGAUUCUUUAUAGGAUAAUUUGAUUAGGUUAAUUAAAUUAGAUCUUCCCUACGAUCUGUCUUCUCCUAUCUUGAAAAUUACCACCUAUAGGAUACAACUAAUAAUAUACUUCUUCAAGUUCUUAGUUAAUCUCUUUAAUUCAAAUUCUUCGAAUUAAUCCCUUCCGUCAUAUCAUAUUAAUUGUUAAGAUUUCUCGAAUAUCGCAAGUCGUCGCCCAAACUAUUUCAACACGUGUUGGAGGUUAGUCUAAUGUCUAAAUCCUCAUCUCCAGGUCAUCAAAUACAUAUCGAUCUUUCAACUUAGAUCUUCAUUCCUCUGAUUGGACCCUCACCGUUUUAUUAUCAGGUGGGUGGUUUAAGGGGGUAAAUUCUACCAUUGUUAUUUUUUUUUACAAUUUAAGUCAUGAAUUACGUUACAACAUUUAUUUUACUUUAUGAGUACUACAUUCACGAAUCAUACAUGAAAACAACCUCACUAGCUAGACCCCUCAGUCUCACACGACUGGGCCAGUAUUGCCCAUACGAUAUGUUGUCUGACGGAUACGUUUUCCUAGACAUCUACGAUUUACACGAUAUGUUGUUUGAGGAUAUAUGCUCCCAAACAUCCACGAUUUUUUACGAUUGGGCAGUAGGGCUAGUUAGUGAGAAGAGGGGAUGCCCAAUAAGAAUUAAGAAACCAUGAAUGAAGCUCAAGGCUAGUAUAAGAAAAUAAGUCACAUAGUUUGACUUUCACAAUAAUGCAUACUAUUACUCAAAUAACACGAUACUACGAUUUUAUAACGCAUUAACAAGAUAACAAAUUGAGCAUGAAAGACUGAACUUGAGCCACGCACCUGGUCAUAUGAGAGAUAGCGGAGUGGAGACGUUUUGCAAGAGCUGCAGCUGUUGCCAAUCAUGUCCCAAGACUCGGAGUGAGUAAAUGGCAAAGGAUGUUCAACAUUUAUGAUGUUUUCCUUUGGAUUUAUUAGAGUUGAGACUUAUUUAUGAUUUAUGGACAUGAUUUCUCAUUUCGGUUUGCCCACAUGUUUAGGGCCAUAUAGUUCGAAACAAUAUUUUAAGAUUUGAAUCAUUUAUUUUGUCGACUUUGACUUUUGUCUUUAAUUCAAGUCUUUCAUCCGCAUCGAGGCAAUUCAGUCAUUUAGGAAAAGUUAAAAAUGUAUGGUGUUUCAAAUCAUCUAUAAUCUUGAUGAUCGAUGCUAACCGUUGAUAUUCUAUUUUAUUUAAGUGGA
rnacentral:lncRNA from 1 species